rnacentral:rRNA from 1 species
UAGAGUUUGAUCCUGGCUCAGGAUGAACGCUAGCGACAGGCCUAACACAUGCAAGUCGAGGGGCAUCGGGGCUAGGAGCAAUCCUUGCCGCCGGCGACCGGCGCACGGGUGAGUAACGCGUAUGCGACCUGCCCGUUGCAGGGGGAUAAUCGGGAGAAAUCCCGUCUAAUACCGCGUAAUGCCGCGGGGCUGCAUGGCCCUGCGGCCAAAGGGAGCGAUUCCGGCAACGGAUGGGCAUGCGUGACAUUAGCUAGUUGGCGGGGCAACGGCCCACCAAGGCGACGAUGUCUAGGGGUUCUGAGAGGAAGGUCCCCCACACUGGUACUGAGACACGGACCAGACUCCUACGGGAGGCAGCAGUGAGGAAUAUUGGUCAAUGGGCGCGAGCCUGAACCAGCCAAGUCGCGUGAGGGAAGACGGUCCUAUGGAUUGUAAACCUCUUUUGUCGGGGAGCAAAAGACGCCACGUGUGGCGUUCCGAGAGUACCCGAAGAAAAAGCAUCGGCUAACUCCGUGCCAGCAGCCGCGGUAAUACGGAGGAUGCGAGCGUUAUCCGGAUUUAUUGGGUUUAAAGGGUGCGCAGGCGGAAGAUCAAGUCAGCGGUAAAAUUGAGAGGCUCAACCUCUUCGAGCCGUUGAAACUGGUUUUCUUGAGUGAGCGAGAAGUAUGCGGAAUGCGUGGUGUAGCGGUGAAAUGCAUAGAUAUCACGCAGAACUCCGAUUGCGAAGGCAGCAUACCGGCGCUCAACUGACGCUCAUGCACGAAAGUGUGGGUAUCGAACAGGAUUAGAUACCCUGGUAGUCCACACAGUAAACGAUGAAUACUAAUUGUUCGGGGAGAAUGAUCCCUGAGUGAUACAGCGAAAGCGUUAAGUAUUCCACCUGGGGAGUACGCCGG